AGCGGGAUACAUUGAAAUAUAAUGAGAAAAAAGAACAGCAAAUACAAUAAAAUACAUGGAAUACAGCGAAUACAUUGAAUUAAAGUGAAAAUCUCCCUUAAAUGAAUUAAACAACUUUACGUUUCAGAUUUAGAGAUUCUCCAAAAGGAAAAGAUAAUGUGUGGCUUCGAUCUUGGACUAGUAAAUCUUCUAAAAGUGUGAUAUUGCAUCCGAGGAAUCAGUGUAAGCUCCGCCAGAGAAACAUCUAAAAGAAAAUUCCACAGACAUAAAAACAAUCGCACCGGUCAAUUUCGCGGAAUAACAGCACACACAAUCUCUGAAACACAUACAAAGGAGGAUGCAUAAGUUCAAUAUGAAGAAAUUACAAGCGAACUAGAUAGAGAAGAGGAAGAGGAUCAGAAAUUUUAAUGGAAUGGGGGAAGAAAAUGAGAUGUAUCAAAUUAGAGAGAGAAAGAAAAUAUCAUACAUAUUUAAU
rnacentral:lncRNA from 1 species